rnacentral:lncRNA from 10 species
CUGGGCCCCACACAGCACCGAGCCGGGGACAGGCUUGUCUCGGUAAAUGCGCCCAACUAGAAGGGGAAUCAGGGGACCCACAGCAGUUACCGGUCCCUGGGGACUCUAAAAUGCCCCGGGACUGGCUGCAGCGUCAGCCUGGGCUGCGGUAGGAAUGCCGGUUCUUCGCCCUGGGAGGGGCCCCAGACACUGGGCUGUCCUUCUUUUCCUGCAUCUUCCUGGGCCGCAUCUGCAGAGCCUUGGGGAACGCCUCUGAGGGGCUCGGCUGGCUCCCUGCCCAUGGGAAGCUGGGGCCAAGGGCUGCGUCUCACCUUGAGUGGUCGUCGUCUGUGUUAAGCUGGGCUGGAUGUCCUCUGCAAGCUACCACUGUUUAGAGAGAGUCUCCUGUUGUCUUCGUCCUGAGGCUUCUUCCAUCUGCACGGAGGUUCCGAAGCGUUUAUGACAUAUCAAUCCCUCUACCAUCAGGCACACAUUUCACUGUUUUGGGAGAAGGCCUUUGGACUGAAGCUGGAAUCACUGCUGCUCCGUGGGUGCUUGUCAUGGCUCCUGUGGAUGGGAACCCGCUAGGCUUCUAGGCUCUGCAUGGGUUUGUCUUUUUGAAUAAAUUGAGCAAUUGAAUUAUUGAU